GCCUGGGUGGCUCAGCUGGUUAAGCGUCUGACUUCGGCUCAGGUCCUGAUUUCACAGUUUGUGGGUUUGAGCCCCACGUUGGGCU
rnacentral:tRNA from 1 species